GUGCUCACUUCAGCAGCACAUAUACUAAAAUUGGAAUGAUACACAGAAGAUUAGCAUGGCCCCUGUGCAAGGAUGAUAACACAAAUUCGUGAAGCAUUCCAUAUUUUU
rnacentral:snRNA from 1 species